CUCUGCCGGGCGGCGCUGCACAGCAGUUGCUAAGGGAUCUCGCUGAGGACGGGCAGCAGGAAUUGGCACUCAGCUCAAUCCCCACACCCAGGGGAGCCCCCACAGCCCCCGGGGCUCCCCCCAGGACCCUCCACCCCACGUACUCUUGGGGUGUGGGAAGAUCAAGGGCCUGUCCAUGUGGGUGGGCACUUGGCCAAGUGCUGGUUCCUGAGGGAGGUCAGGGCAGGCGGCAGAGCCUGGCACUGUGUCUGUGUUCCUUGGUAGCCAGGCUGUCCUGCUACACGGGCACACUCCCUCCCACCCACUCCUGUGCCUCCAGGGUGGCCAAACCCCCAUGUGACCCCCACGGCACCGGCAGGAGCACCGGAAGGACCCUCUGGGGCCCUGAGCCCCCACCCACGGCUCCCACAGACCCACAGGGGCUGCGGCCGCAAGGCCCAGAGCUCCCAGCCACAGCGACCCCAAUCGCGGUGGCUCCUGGCCCUGAUGCCCCCAGCUGUGGGUGUCCCAGGGAGAUCCCAGGGGCACCUGAUCUCGCAGGGACAGGCGUGGGUGCACCCACGGGAGUCCCAGUGGGACCUCGACGGCAGCAGGACCCUACACAGCCUGCGGCGGGAGGGCUACACAGUGCAGGUGAACGUCAACGACUACCUGGACAUCUACUGCCCUCACUACAACGCCUCGGUGCCCGAGCACCGGCUGGAGCAGUACGUGCUCUACAUGGUGAACGCGGAGGGCUACCGCACCUGCAACACCAGCCAGGGCUUCAAGCGCUGGGAGUGCAACCGGCCCCACGCGCCCCACAGCCCCAUCAAGUUCUCGGAGAAGUUCCAGCGCUACAGCGCCUUCUCGCUGGGCUACGAGUUCCGUGCGGGCCAGGAAUACUACUACAUAUCCACGCCGACACACAACCACCGCCGGGCCUGCCUGAAGAUGAAGGUGUUGCUGCUGCGCCUCCAGUAAGUACCCCCGUGCCCGUCCCAGGGGCUGGGGGGGGGCGAGGCUGGCCCGUGGGUCCCCUGUCCCUCCUGAGGGGUGGGUGCAUGUGGGGGCUGUGGUGCAGGCCAGGGAGCGUGACCGUGUGAGUGCUACUGUGUGUG
rnacentral:lncRNA from 1 species